UAGGAGAAGAGACUAAAUUAAGAUUUGUUUAUGUUCUUUUAUAGUUUUACCUCCCAAGUGUGGCUCUCUGGGCACUAGAGUUUAGUUUUGCUUAUGAUAUGUCUUUUAAAUCU